ensembl:lncRNA
AUUGUCAACCAUGUGUAAAGUUAAAAUAUAUGCAUGUACAAUGCAAAAUAAUUACUACAGCAUAUAUUUAUUGGACUGUUUGGCGUUUUUCUCAAUUUUCAGACUACACAGUGUGAUUCCAGAGGUGUCUUGGGCUGGGAGGCAGUUGAUGCCCUGGCAGCCUACUUGGUUGGCCUAAACCGAACGAUCACUGCCUUGUCAUCACAAGAGGAGGCCAACAUAGUCCAGCUGUACAUGGCUCUGCAUGCCAUGGACAAGGUACCAUCAAAAUAUAGCCAGAGGGUUAAGAAGAAGGCUUUGACAGGACCUUGGAGAGCAUCCAGGAAGCAGAGUGGCUCUGCUCCAGGACAGCAGGCAGCAGAGAGAUUGUUCAUGACUCAUGGGCGGGCAGGUCAGGACCAUGAAGUCCACAGGGUCUGUGAUUGUAUUUGCCUAAGGCCUUUGAAAGAGUUUCAGCAAGCACGGAGCAGGACACACAAGGAAAAAAACUGCCAAUUCCACAAUCUAUUGUGGUGAUAUACAGCCACUUAAAACAGUUAAAGGAGGACAGCAGAGAGGUUCUAGGACAGACUAACCUAGUUUCAGUCCCAAUAACCACCAAUACUGUCUCCUCGUGGUGAGUCUUUUAUGCAAUACUUUUAUACAAUCACAGUAGUAUAUCAAACCUUCUUGUACAUGCUUCUUUUAAAAAUUAUGCUACAG